UACAGAGGUCCCAAGCGUUGUUCGGAAUUACUGGGCGUAAAGCGUGCGCAGGCGGUUCGUUGUGUCGGCGGUGAAAGCCCCGGGCUCAACCUGGGAAUGGCCGUUGAAACUGGCGAACUGGAGUGUGGCAGAGGGGGGUGGAAUUCCGCGUGUAGCAGUGAAAUGCGUAGAGAUGCGGAGGAACACCGAUGGCGAAGGCAGCCCCCUGGGCUAACACUGACGCUCAGGCACGAAAGCGUGGGGAGCAAACAGG
rnacentral:rRNA from 1 species